rnacentral:rRNA from 1 species
GAUCAUGGCUCAGGAUGAACGCUAGCGACAGGCCUAACACAUGCAAGUCGAGGGGCAGCGGAGAGGUAGCAAUACCUUUGCCGGCGACCGGCGCACGGGUGAGUAACACGUAUGCAAUCCACCUGUAACAGGGGGAGUAACCCGGAGAAAUCCGGACUAAUACCCCACUAAUAUGGGCGCUCCGCAUGGAGAGCCCAUUAAAGAGAGCAAUUUUGGUUUACAGACGAGCAUGCGCUCC